ACAGUUGGAAGUCGCGGGUUGAGC
rnacentral:siRNA from 1 species